UGGUCCUCUACUUACAACAUAAUCACGUUUGUUAUGUGACAGCGAUUCGACUGCACGGUUCACAGGGAGGUUUGUCAGUCUCGUCGAGGGCUUUCCAACAAGCAACUUGGAAAUGAGCGACGGUAUAAUGAUGUCACCAUCCAUUUAUCCUCUGCACUUAAAGGUUGAAGCUCUUCAACAAAUCUCUCCUCAGCCAAAUACAUCUGGUACCUUAAUGGAGGCGACAGCACAGGCUUCUGAUUAGUUCACACAUCACUCACCAAUUAGAAUAGAAGGUCAAGCUAGACCCAGCAAAUGAGUCUGCAGGGACCAGAAAAACUCCAGGGAUAUGCCUUUGAUUUUUCCAGUCAUGAAAUCUGCAGUCUGAAAGCAGUCUUAGAACAGGACAGACCCUACCCCAACAUUUGCAUUACACUCUCUUGUACUAAAGACAAUUGCAAUAUAAAAAUAAACCCUA
rnacentral:lncRNA from 1 species